rnacentral:rRNA from 1 species
CCAUACCACCCUGAACGCGCCCGAUCUCGUCUGAUCUCGGAAGCUAAGCAGGGUCAGGCCUGGUUAGUACUUGGAUGGGAGAAAAGGUACACUCACAAUCACAGUCCCGUAAUAGAAUACUGGAG